GUGGGGAAUAUUGGACAAUGGGCGAAAGCCUGAUCCAGCCAUGCCGCGUGUGUGAAGAAGGUCUUCGGAUUGUAAAGCACUUUAAGUUGGGAGGAAGGGCAGUAAGUUAAUACCUUGCUGUUUUGACGUUACCGACAGAAUAAGCACCGGCUAACUUCGUGCCAGUAGCCGCGGUAAUACGAAGGGUGCAAUCGUUAAUCGGAAUUACUGGGCGUAAAGCGCGCGUAGGUGGUUUUGUAAGUUGGAGGUGAAAUCCCCGGGCUCAACCUGGGAACUGCCUCCAAAACUGCAUGACUAGAGUACGGUAGAGGGUAGUGGAAUUUCCUGUGUAGCGGUGAAAUGCGUAGAUAUAGGAAGGAACACCAGUGGCGAAGGCGACUACCUGGACUGAUACUGACACUGAGGUGCGAAAGCGUGGGGAGCAAACAGGAUUAGAAACCCUAGUAGUCC
rnacentral:rRNA from 1 species